rnacentral:rRNA from 1 species
UACGUAGGUGGCAAGCGUUAUCCGGAUUUACUGGGUGUAAAGGGCGUGUAGGCGGGUGUGCAAGUCGGAUGUGAAAUUCCCAGGCUUAACCUGGGCGGGUCAUCCGAAACUGCAGAUCUUGAGUACUGGAGAGGAUAGUGGAAUUCCUAGUGUAGCGGUAAAAUGCGUAGAUAUUAGGAGGAACACCAGUGGCGAAGGCGGCUAUCUGGACAGUAACUGACGCUGAGGCGCGAAAGCGUGGGGAGCAAACAGG